CAGCCGCCGCGGUAACACGAAGGGGGCUAGCGUUGUUCGGAUUUACUGGGCGUAAAGCGCACGUAGGCGGACUUUUAAGUCAGGGGUGAAAUCCCGGGGCUCAACCCCGGAACUGCCUUUGAUACUGGGAGUCUUGAGUUCGAGAGAGGUGAGUGGAAUUGCGAGUGUAGAGGUGAAAUUCGUAGAUAUUCGCAGGAACACCAGUGGCGAAGGCGGCUCACUGGCUCGAUACUGACGCUGAGGUGCGAAAGCGUGGGGAGCAAACAGGAUUAGAUACCCGCGUAGUCCCUGUCUCUUAUAC
rnacentral:rRNA from 1 species